UACGGAGGGUGCAAGCGUUAUCCGGAUUCACUGGGUUUAAAGGGUGCGUAGGCGGGCAGGUAAGUCAGUGGUGAAAUCUCCGAGCUUAACUCGGAACUGCCGUUGAUACUAUUUGUCUUGAAUAUUGUGGAGGUAAGCGGAAUAUGUCAUGUAGCGGUGAAAUGCUUAGAUAUGACAUAAAACACCAAUUGCGAAGGCAGCUUACUACACAACGAUUGACGCUGAGGCACGAAAGCGUGGGGAUCAAACAGG
rnacentral:rRNA from 1 species